rnacentral:rRNA from 1 species
CCUACGGGACGCAGCAGUGAGGAAUAUUGGUCAAUGGACGCAAGUCUGAACCAGCCAUGCCGCGUGCAGGAAGACGGCUCUAUGAGUUGUAAACUGCUUUUGUACGAGGGUAAACGCAGAUACGCGUAUCUGUCUGAAAGUAUCGUACGAAUAAGGAUCGGCUAACUCCGUGCCAGCAGCCGCGGUAAUACGGAGGAUUCAAGCGUUAUCCGGAUUUAUUGGGUUUAAAGGGUGCGUAGGCGGUCGGAUAAGUUAGAGGUGAAAUCCCGAGGCUCAACUUCGGAAUUGCCUCUGAUACUGUUCGGCGAGAGAGUAGUUGCGGUAGGCGGAAUGUAUGGUGUAGCGGUGAAAUGCUUAGAGAUCAUACAGAACACCGAUUGCGAAGGCAGCUUACCAAGCUACUUCUGACGUUGAGGCACGAAAGCGUGGGGAGCAAACAGGAUUAGAUACCCGAGUAGUC